CCUACGGGUGGCAGCAGUGAGGAAUAUUGGUCAAUGGACGAGAGUCUGAACCAGCCAAGUAGCGUGAAGGAUGACUGCCCUAUGGGUUGUAAACUUCUUUUAUAUGGGAAUAAAAUGUUCCACGUGUGGGAUUUUGUAUGUACCAUAUGAAUAGGGAUCGGCUAACUCCGUGCCAGCAGCCGCGGUAAUACGGAGGAUCCGAGCGUUAUCCGGAUUUAUUGGGUUUAAAGGGAGCGUAGGUGGAUUGUUAAGUCAGUUGUGAAAGUUUGCGGCUCAACCGUAAAAUUGCAGUUGAAACUGGCAGUCUUGAGUACAGUAGGGGUGGGCGGAAUUCGUGGUGUAGCGGUGAAAUGCUUAGAUAUCACGAAGAACUCCGAUUGCGAAGGCAGUUCACUGGACUGCAACUGACACUGGGGCUCGAAAGUGUGGGUAUCAAACAGGAUUAGAUACCCCGGUGUC
rnacentral:rRNA from 1 species